rnacentral:rRNA from 1 species
AUUGAACGCUGGCGGCAGGCCUAACACAUGCAAGUCGAACGAGUGGCGGACGGGAGAGUAAUGUCUGGGAAACUGCUCGAUGGAGGGGGAUAACUACUGGAAACGGUAGCUAAUACCGCAUACCAUCGGAUGAGCCCAGAUGGGAUUAGCUAGUAGGUGGGGUAACGGCUCACCAAGGCAACGAUCCCUAGCUGGUCUGCGAGGAUGAACCGCCACACUGGAACUGAGACACGGUCCAGACUCCUACGGGAGACAGCAGUGGGGAAUAUUGCACAAUGGGCGAAAGCCUGAUGCAGCCAUGCCGCGUGUAUGAAGAAGGCCUUCGGGUUGUAAAGUACUUUCAGCAGGGAGGCGUUACUCGCAGAAGAAGCACCGGCUAACUCCGUGCCAGCAGCCGCGGUAAUAC